rnacentral:rRNA from 1 species
GUGUCAGCCGCCGCGGUAAUACAGAGGUCCCAAGCGUUGUUCGGAUUCAUUGGGCGUAAAGGGUGCGUAGGCUGCGCCGUUAGUCGGAUGUGAAAUCUCGGGGCUCAACCCUGAAACUGCAUUCGAUACUGCGGUGCUAGAGGACUCUAGAGGAAACUGGAAUUCACGGUGUAGCAGUGAAAUGCGUAGAUAUCGUGAGGAAGACCAGUGGCGAAGGCGGGUUUCUGGAGAGUUCCUGACGCUGAGGCACGAAGGCCAGGGGAGCAAACGGGAUUAGAUACCCCGGUAGUCCUGGCAGUAAACGGUGCACGUUUGGUGUGGGAGGAUUCGACCCCUUCCGUGCCGGAGCUAACGCGUUAAACGUGCCGCCUGGGGAGUACGGUCGCAAGAUUAAA